GUCCAAGGUGAUUCCCUCUCCAAAGGGCAACUUGGAAGAAAGCCAGACAUGCCCAAGGUCUUAAUACUUGUUUCCUUUGCCUUCCUUUGGCUGCCUCCUUUU